rnacentral:rRNA from 1 species
GAUGAACGCUAGCGGGAGGCUUAACACAUGCAAGUCGAGGGGCAGCACGAGAUAGCAAUAUUUUGGUGGCGACCGGCGCACGGGUGAGUAACACGUAUGCAACCUACCUCGUACAGGGGGAUAACCCGGAGAAAUUCGGACUAAUAUCCCAUAAUAAUAUUGAAAGGCAUCUUUUAAUAUUUAAAGCUCAGGCGGUAUAGGAUGGGCAUGCGGAACAUUAGCUAGUUGGUAGGGUAACGGCCUACCAAGGCUACGAUGUUUAGGGGACCUGAGAGGGUUAUCCCCCACACUGGUACUGAGACACGGACCAGACUCCUACGGGAGGCAGCAGUGAGGAAUAUUGGUCAAUGGGCGCAAGCCUGAACCAGCCAUCCCGCGUGAAGGAAGAAGGCCCUAUGGGUUGUAAACUUCUUUUCCAGGGGGUGAAUAAUUCCGAUGUAUCGGGAGAUGACGGUACCCUGGGAAUAAGCAUCGGCUAACUCCGUGCCAGCAGCCGCGGUAAGACGUAGCGU